GAUGAACGCUAGCUACAGGCUUAACACAUGCAAGUCGAGGGGCAGCACGGAGAUAGCUUGCUAUCUUGGGUGGCGACCGGCGCACGGGUGAGUAGCGCGUAUCCAACCUGCCCAUUACUCUGGGAUAGCCUUGCGAAAGUAAGAUUAAUACCGGAUGUUGUUAAAAACCCGCAUGAGUUUUUAACCAAAGAUUUAUUGGUAAUGGAUGGGGAUGCGUGACAUUAGGUAGUUGGUGAGGUAACGGCUCACCAAGCCGACGAUGUCUAGGGGUUCGGAGAGGAAGGUCCCCCACACGGGAACUGAGACACGGUCCAGACUCCUACGGGAGGCAGCAGUGAGGAAUAUUGGUCAAUGGACGAGAGUCUGAACCAGCCAAGUAGCGUGCAGGAUGACGGCCCUCUGGGUUGUAAACUGCUUUUAGUUGGGAAUAAAAGGAGGGACGUGUCCCUAAUUGUAUGUACCAUCAGAAAAAGGACCGGCUAAUUCCGUGCCAGCAGCCGCGGUAACAC
rnacentral:rRNA from 1 species